rnacentral:rRNA from 1 species
GAUGAACGCUGGCGGCGUGCCUAAUACAUGCAAGUCGAGCGAACGGACGAGAAGUUUGCUUCUCUGAUGUUUGCGGCGGACGGGUGAGUAACACGUGGAUAACCUCCCUAUAAGACUGGGAUAACUUCGGGACACCGGAGCUAAUACCGGCUAAUAUUUUGAACCGCAUGGUUCAAAAGUGAAAGCCGGCCUUGCUGUCACUUAUAGAUGGAUCCGCGCUGCAUUAGCUAGUUGGUAAGGUAACGGCUUACCAAGGCGACGAUGCAUAGACGACCUGAGAGGGUGAUCGGCCACACUGGAACUGAGACACGGUCCAGACUCCUACGGGAGGCAGCAGUAGGGAAUCUUCCGCAAUGGGCGAAAGCCUGACGGAGCAACGCCGCGUGAGUGAUGAAGGUCUUCGGAUCGUAAAGCUCUGUUAUUAGGGAAGAACAUAUGUGUAAGUAACUGUGCACAGCUUGACGGUACCUAAUCAGAAAGCCACGGCUAACUACGUG